GACGAACGCUGGCGGCGUGCCUAAUACAUGCAAGUCGAACGCAGUGGGGCCGGGUGAGUAACACGUGGGUAACCUCCCAUCAGAGGGGAUAACACGUGGAAACAGGUGCUAAACCGAUAAUGCUGGAUGGACCCGCGGUGCAUUAGCUAGUUGGUGAGGUAACGGCUCACCAAGGCCACGAUGCAUAGCCGACCGCACAGGGUGAUCGGGAACACGGGGACGGAGCCACGGCCCAGACCCCUACGGGAGGCAGCAGUAGGGAAUCUUCGACAAUGGACGAAAGUCUGACCGAGCAAGGCCGCGUGAGUGAAGAAGGUUUUCGGAUCGUAAAACUCGGUUGUUAGGGAAGCGGUAUCUAACCAGAAAGCCACGGCUAACUACGUGCCAGCAGCCGCGGUAAUAC
rnacentral:rRNA from 1 species